GGAGAAGGCGGUGAUUGGGUGGCUUUGGCCAGCCUCUGCGGGAGUAUUGAGUUCUCUUAAGUCUUGCGGAAGGUGGGUGACUGCGCUGUGCCGGGAGAGCGCGCAGGUUAGGCGUUCAUAGUCACCGAACAGGAGGGCAAAUUUCAAACAUGCGCAAAAGCAGAGAGAAAAGUCUAAUGAACACCCAUCACGCAGCUUCGGCAGUUAACCGGCAUGCGGCCAUUCUCGUUCCAUCCAUGUCCUGCGCCUUGGCCUCCCCUGCUCAGUUAAUCUGAAAGCAAAUCCAGGUCUCAAGAUGUCUCCUCCUCCAGGAAGCCCCCUUGAGCCCCCAGGGUGGGUCAGGUAUCCGUUUUGGGCUUCUGCUCUCUGGGUUUCCCCCAUCCCAGCCCUGACCAUCUGUGAUGUCAGCGUCUUAAACGUCUGUCUUCCGGAGAUUGGAGACAAGAUGGCGGAGUAGAAGGACUUGAGCUCACCUCCUCUCAUGAAAACAUCAAAAUCACAACUAACUGCUGAACAACCAUCAACAAAAAAAGACUGGAACCUACCAGAAAAGAUAUUCUAUGUCCAAAGACAAAGAAGAAGCCACAGGGAGACAGUAGGAGGGACACUUUCACGACAUAAAUGUCUGUCUCCCUCUUUAGAAAGAUAAAUGCAUGAGGAUGGGGACAAAGUCUGUUCUGGUCACCACUUUUAUCUCCAGAACCUGGCACAGAGUCAGUAAUAUCUGUUAACUGAAUUAAGAAAUGACAAGUAAGAUGUGGGUCAUGCGCACUUGUAACUCUUGAACUGGACCAUGAAGCCAGCUCUCGAGGUCUUGUUUUGAUGUGCCCUGACAUCAGCGCAGCAUUUUGAACUGCUUUAACUUUUAUUGGGUGUACAGUAGACAUGUUGUGAAUCUCAUCAGCACAUGCACCAGGUGAGAUGUCCAAGGAAGUAUGUAAUAGCACUGACAGCAAAAAAUCGGAAACCUGAUGUCCACUAAAAGGAGAAUGGAUAAAUUGUAUAUUCACACAGUGGAAUAUUAUGCAGCAAUGAAAAGGAAGGAACUACAGGUGCACAAGAAAAAUAAUGUGUGAAAGGAGCAAAAUUCAGAAGAUUUCAUAUAGGAUGAUACUAUUUUAUAAAGCUCAAAACCAAGCACACCGAAUUAUUGUUUAGGCAUUUGAAAAUAUGUGAUAAAACUGUAUCUUAAAAUAGCAAGGGGGAGAGGGAAUCUUUUGGGAUUGGUUGCACUGUGCAGUUAAAAUGGGUAUAGUUUAUUGUGCGUAAAUUAUACCUCAGGAAAGCUGAAUUAAAAAGGAGAGUGGGCAGAACAGACUACCUGUUGUGCCUCUGGAUAUACUGUGUAAGGAGGUGAUGCUGGGGGCAAAUGCCACCAUAUGGUGACUCACCUGUCAUGCUGAGGAGGUCAGGCAGAAGAAAGGACUUGAGCCACCUAAUCACUGAGCCAGGUAAGGGACUUUGCUUCCUGUGCUAUGUCUCCAGUUCCAGUUCCAUGCCUGGUGAUUAUUUGGCGCUCAAUAAACAUAGGUACUUUUAAGUAAAAUUCUUUUGGAAGUAAAAUAUAAUUUUCUUAACUGUUUGAAUUUAACAACCCCCAAAACACCUUGCCUCUGGAGUGCUUGCUGUGUGAAGUAACGCAUUUCCUUCUGAUUCAAGCCCUUUUGACUUGGAUCCUCUUAUCUGUAGCCAAACACAUCUUAACUGGUGACCACGUGGUGAGUGAGUUAACUGCUAACAUUUUAGGGGUGUUAAAAAACAAAAUUUAUGGGGGGUGGGGUGGAAGGGAGGCUCAAGAGGGAGGGGAUGUAUGUAUACAUAUAGCUGAUUCACUUUGUUCUACAGCAGAAACCAACCCAACAUUGUAAAGCAAUUAUGCUCCAAUUAAAAAAAAAUAAAGACUUUUAAAAGAAAAAAAUUUUCCCUGGGUAAAUUGAGAUCUAAUUGGCGCUAUUUAAAAAUUCAUGAAUUGGGCAGCAUUCUAUAUGGCAGACAGAUAUUCCUGGAAGUUACACAACAUGGAAGGCUUUUGUAGUAAGGAGGAUGGGACAAGGAAACGAAGUUAUCAGCAAGGAAGAAAUGAAAGUUCAUUGGCGGAAAACAAAAGUUGAGGUGACCCUGGCUUCUCACUGGCUGAGCUGUGGUGUUUUCCAUUGGCUGGGCUUGUUGCAAGACAAGAAGGAAGGCUUCCUUCCCCCUGCUAGGGUAGUAAAGUAGUUGUGCUUCCUGUUUGGGAGUGCAAGGUACCUCUCUUCCUGCUGGGGUCAGUAACUGGCAUCUUCCUGUCUGGGUAAUUGGUACUCCUCCUGUCUGAGGUAAUUGACAAUGAGUGGUAGGGCAUGAGACCUCCCUCUACAGGCCUCUCUGACUCCAAUUUUAGUUGGUUUCCUUUUAUUAAUUUUCACAGGGGAACUAAGUUUAGGGAGGUUUGUUAAGCAGCAGUAGGUAACUGAUACACCCCCCUCUCCCCAAGGAUAACCACUGUGCUGACUUCUAAUGCUGUAGUGUUUUUUUUUUUUCCCCAAUUCUUUACUUUGUAUAAAAGAAAUAAUAAAGUGUUAUCAACCUC